UCGUAUGCAUUCAGAUCCAAAU
rnacentral:piRNA from 1 species